UGCCAGCCGCCGCGGUAAUACGAAGGGGGCUAGCGUUGUUCGGAAUUACUGGGCGUAAAGCGCACGUAGGCGGAUCGUUAAGUGAGGGGUGAAAUCCCAGGGCUCAACCCUGGAACUGCCUUUCAUACUGGCGAUCUUGAGUUCGAGAGAGGUGAGUGGAAUUCCGAGUGUAGAGGUGAAAUUCGUAGAUAUUCGGUGGAACACCAGUGGCGAAGGCGGCUAACUGGACUGAUACUGACGCUGAGGUGCGAAAGUGUGGGGAGCAAACAGGAUUAGAUA
rnacentral:rRNA from 1 species